rnacentral:snRNA from 1 species
AAAAAGGGUUUCUGCUAUGUUUGGCACAUGAGGGGGAGUAAUCUCACCCUUCGUGCGGAAUCGCAAUCAAGAGAUUUCGGAAGCAAAAUUUUUAUAACCAGGGCUGCUGGUGAUCAUUCGUCCCGGCGCCCUA